CAUAGCCUGAGUACAUUGGGUCCACCAGAGAAAGACAGCAGAGGCAGGAGAGAGGGGAUGACGUGCAGCAGAGGGCCCAGAACCCAAGCUGCUGGAGUAAGGACUUGGCCUUCAUGCUGAGAGAGCCCAGCAGCUGGGGGCCUCUUCGGUGAGUUUGGUUCCCUCUGGAAGCGACAGCAUGAGCGACAUGACGAGAGUUUGGC